rnacentral:tRNA from 3 species
GGGCACUUAGCUCAAUUGGCAGAGCAGCGGACUCUUAAUCCGGAGGUUACAGGUUCGAUUCCUGUAGUGCCCA